GACGAACGCUGGCGGCGUGCCUAAUACAUGCAAGUCGAACGCAGUGGGGACGGGUGAGUAACACGUGGGUAACCUCCCAUCAGAGGGGAUAACACUUGGAAACAGGUGCUAAACCGAUACUGAUGGAUGGACCCGCGGUUCAUUGGCUAGUUGGUGAGGUAACGGCUCACCAAGGCCACGAUGCAUAGCCGACCCGAUAGGAGGAUCGGCCAACCGGGGACUGAGACACGGCCCAGCCUCCUACGGGAGUCAGCAGUGGGGAAUCUUGCGCAAUGGACGCAAGCCUGACGCAGCAACGCCGCGUGAGUGAAGAAGGUUUUCGGAGUGUAAAGCUCUUUGGUUCGAGAAGCGUUAUCUAACGAGAAAGCACCGGCUAACUACGUGCCAGCAGCCGCGGUAAUAC
rnacentral:rRNA from 1 species